rnacentral:piRNA from 1 species
UAAAGGUUCCCGUAAAGCAGACUGUUAAG